rnacentral:ncRNA from 1 species
AAACUCUGGAGAGUCUCAGUAAAUGAGCGCCGAAGGUGUAACACAAAAGAGCCGGCGGGGAUUUCCCCAAAGCUUUUUUGUCUAUCUCUCAGGCAAAAGGACAGGGCUGAA